GUGUUUCGACACACUAUCAUUAACUGAAUCCAUAGGUUAAUGAGGCGAACCGGGGGAACUGAAACAUCUAAGUACCCCGAGGAAAAGAAAUCAACCGAGAUUCCCCCAGUAGCGGCGAGCGAACGGGGAGCAGCCCAGAGCCUGAAUCAGUGUGUGUGUUAGUGGAAGCGUCUGGAAAGGCGCGCGAUACAGGGUGACAGCCCCGUACACAAAAAUGCACAUGCUGUGAGCUCGAUGAGUAGGGCGGGACACGUGGUAUCCUGUCUGAAUAUGGGGGGACCAUCCUCCAAGGCUAAAUACUCCUGACUGACCGAUAGUGAACCAGUACCGUGAGGGAAAGGCGAAAAGAACCCCGGCGAGGGGAGUGAAAAAGAACCUGAAACCGUGUACGUACAAGCAGUGGGAGCACGCUUAGGCGUGUGACUGCGUACCUUUUGUAUAAUGGGUCAGCGACUUAUAUUCUGUAGCAAGGUUAACCGAAUAGGGGAGCCGAAGGGAAACCGAGUCUUAACUGGGCGUUAAGUUGCAGGGUAUAGACCCGAAACCCGGUGAUCUAGCCAUGGGCAGGUUGAAGGUUGGGUAACACUAACUGGAGGACCGAACCGACUAAUGUUGAAAAAUUAGCGGAUGACUUGUGGCUGGGGGUGAAAGGCCAAUCAAACCGGGAGAUAGCUGGUUCUCCCCGAAAGCUAUUUAGGUAGCGCCUCGUGAAUUCAUCUCCGGGGGUAGAGCACUGUUUCGGCAAGGGGGUCAUCCCGACUUACCAACCCGAUGCAAACUGCGAAUACCGGAGAAUGUUAUCACGGGAGACACACGGCGGGUGCUAACGUCCGUCGUGAAGAGGGAAACAACCCAGACCGCCAGCUAAGGUCCCAAAGUCAUGGUUAAGUGGGAAACGAUGUGGGAAGGCCCAGACAGCCAGGAUGUUGGCUUAGAAGCAGCCAUCAUUUAAAGAAAGCGUAAUAGCUCACUGGUCGAGUCGGCCUGCGCGGAAGAUGUAACGGGGCUAAACCAUGCAC
rnacentral:rRNA from 1 species